GGCGGUUCUCAGGUGAUGCACCCCAGAAUCGGGCUCCCUCCUCUCUGGUUCCAGGUGUGUCACCUGAGAACCACA
rfam:Myotis lucifugus cont2.5104, whole genome shotgun sequence.